rnacentral:lncRNA from 1 species
GAUGAGGAAGUCUGUCUGCAUUCAGUCCUCACAAGCAGCCAGUGGGCAGGGGCCGGGGGACCAGUUCCAACACCACUGCCAGUGCCUUGCCACUGCAGUUGGCCGUCCCACUGUUACUUUGCAUGUCUCACCUGGUGAGUAGGUCUUUCUGGGGUGACUUCAGCCUCUGGGGAAGCUCCUUGUUGGAAAAUUUUCUGCCACUUACAGUGACGGCAGUAACUUUCUGCCACUUACAGUAAAACGGUCACCUCAGCAGCCACCUCUACAAGGUGGGACCCCUACCUUCCUGUCACUGCUAAUGAGACGAGAGACGCACAGCCGAACCAGUCAGCUCCUCUCCUGGGACCCAAGACUGGAAUUGGAACCACCGUCCUGUCACGUCUGUUUGUGAGAAGUGAGAUGGAGUAGGACUGUCAUCUUCCACCCUGUGCGUGGAGACAGGGUAAUGACCAAGGGACUGUGUGAGCCAGGGACAGGGAGCCAGACCCAGCAGCUGACUCAAGAUGGUUUGUGAUGGUUCCCACUUUGCUCUCGUGGGAGACCCACAGCCUUUCAAGGUGGCCCGGCUUAUCAGAAAGCAGCCUCGGGUCCCUCCCGUACCUCUGCGUCUUUUAUCUAAAGGGCCUCUGAGUGAAUUUCUGUUUCUUCCGACCCAAGGAGGCUGGGGGAGAGCAGGGACAAAAGGUUGAUCCGUAGGAGGCUACGGUAAUAAAAACACAGAGUCAGGAGUAAGGAAGGUGAACGCUCUGCUCUGUUCUGCCCAGGCUCCCCCUGAAGUGUCCUGCUGGCUUAUAGGUGUGGAAUAUUAAGAGGACAUAGCCUGGUUAGAAUGCCUUCAGGAGAGAGGAACCAGAUAACAAGGACAAGAGCCCUUCUUUCUGGAACCCUUUACCCUGGAGUGCCUGGGAGAUCGGCACGUGUGCCUUCAUUCACGUGGUCACCGACUGCCCACUGGGAGCCUGGCUGCCGAAGGCCCCGUACAGGCCAGGCCACUGAGGGUCCCCCGUGCACCAGGCUGAGAACAAGACAGACCUGUCUGCCCGUCUGGAACUUCCUUAGAGCCCAUCCCACAAAACAGUAGCGGGGCUCUGUGAGGUGCGCCGCGUGCAGGCCUGCGUCCCCAGAGCCGGGAGGCCUUCUCCGUCUCACCCUCAGAGCGAACCUCCAAGCCGCAGCCCAUCUGUGGAUGAAGAAGCCAGGACUUGUAAGGCAUAAAGCCGGCGCACGGGGGAGCCGGCUGUGGUUGCCCACCUCUGUGUCUCAUUCGGUCACUUCCUCCCCCAGGGGACGGGAAAGAGCUGCAGAGGUGUGGUAGGAUUCAGGCCUGGGUCCCCGGCGUCUGCAGAGAACCUGCCGCCUGCAGUCGAAGGGGAGAUUUUCGUGGUCUCGGCGUGCAGUGCCAUGUCCCCAGCCAGACCUGGAGGCAGCUUGACGUUCAGGAAAGACAUCUGGGUCUCAGCCAU